UACGUAGGGGGCAAGCGUUGUCCGGAAUUAUUGGGCGUAAAGCGCGCGCAGGCGGCCUUGUAAGUCUGUUGUUUAAACUUGGGGCUCAACCCCAAGUCGCAAUGGAAACUGCAAAGCUUGAGUGCAGAAGAGGAAAGUGGAAUUCCACGUGUAGCGGUGAAAUGCGUAGAGAUGUGGAGGAACACCAGUGGCGAAGGCGGCUCACUGGGUCAUUACUGACGCUGAGGCACGAAAGCGUGGGGAGCAAACAGG
rnacentral:rRNA from 1 species